rnacentral:rRNA from 1 species
CCUACGGGUGGCAGCAGUGGGGAAUAUUGCACAAUGGGGGAAACCCUGAUGCAGCGACGCCGCGUGAGUGAAGAAGUAAUUCGUUACGUAAAGCUCUAUCUGCAGGGAAGAAACACUGACCUUACGGUCAGCAGACGGUACCUGAGUAAGAAGCCCCGGCUAACUACGUGCCAGCAGCCGCGGUAAUACGUAGGGGGCAAGCGUUAUCCGGAUUUACUGGGGGGAAAGGGGGCGUAGACGGUGCGCCAAGUCUGGAGUUAAAUGCCGCAGCUUAACUGCGGAACUGCUUUGGAAACUGGCGAACUAGAGAGCGGGAGGGGUAAGCGGAAUGCCUGGUGUAGCGGUGAAAUGCAUAGAUAUUAGGAGGAACACCGGUGGCGAAGGCGGCUUACUGGACCGUAACUGACGUUGAGGCUCGAAAGCGUGGGGAGCAAACAGGAUUAGAUACCCUAGUAGUC